rnacentral:rRNA from 1 species
AGAUGGCGACCGGCGCACGGGUGAGUAACACGUAUCCAACCUGCCGAUAACUCGGGGAUAGCCUUUCGAAAGAAAGAUUAAUACCCGAUGGUAUAAUCAGACCGCAUGGUUUGGUUAUUAAAGAAUUUCGGUUAUCGAUGGGGAUGCGUUCCAUUAGGCAGUUGGUGAGGUAACGGCUCACCAAACCUUCGAUGGAUAGGGGUUCUGAGAGGAAGGUCCCCCACAUUGGAACUGAGACACGGUCCAA